rnacentral:rRNA from 1 species
UACGUAGGGGGCAAGCGUUGUCCGGAUUUAUUGGGCGUAAAGAGCGUGUAGGCGGUUCGGUAGGUCCGUUGUGAAAACUCGAGGCUCAACCUCGAGACGCCGAUGGAAACCCUCGAACUAGAGUCCGGAAGAGGAGAGUGGAAUUCCUGGUGUAGCGGUGGAAUGCGUAGAGAUCCGGAAGAACACCGGUGGCGAAGGCGGUCUGCUGGGCAGUUGCUGACACUGAGGCGCGGACAGCGUGGGGAGCAAACAGGG